rnacentral:lncRNA from 7 species
AGCUCUAGGAAGGCAGUGUCUCAAAGCAGACCAUCUCUCUCUCUUCUAGACCUUUGAGGAUGAAGAGCAGUAUUUGCCUGCUUCUGAUCAUUCUCAUCAUUUCAUGUGCUAUGUGACAAUAGCUUCAGCGAUGGAAGGCGCAGAUCAACUCUUCUUAAAUGAGCACCAGUUAAUUUUGUGGAUAUACGAUCCUGAAAGUGCAGAUGCCUCUGAACUGAAUCACACUGCAGUUUUUCUGUCAGAAAGAGUUCUCAGAUACUCAGCAAGCUGUUAUGGAUUUGGGGGCAGAAACCUGUUGGUCAGACCUAUUUCAAGCUAAAAACAUUCCAUUCUGAGAGGUUUCUGAAACUCAGAUAGGUACUGUUCACCAUACUUUCCAAUGUGCUGUGGAAAAAAAAAAUCAGCAGUUUCUGUCAGCCCUGCUGGAUCCUGACGUAGUGAAAUAGAACUACUUGGCCCUUAAUUUUGUACAGCACUUGUUACAAAAGAGAAGCCAGGCAUGUUUUUACACUUGGAGCAGAACACAAGCUUCCUGAGAGUGAAAUACUUGGAAUGCAUUCAAGGUGUUGGUGUUCAACUGUCUGUCCAGUGCAGAGUGGAAAGCAAUUAAGUACUUUGGCAGCACAGAUGUCUACUGAGCUGUAUGGUGGAUAUAGUGAAGCGUUUAAUAAAAUAGCAGAUACUGUGAGCUUAGUGAAGAUCCUGGAUUUUCCAAACACUGCUUCUUUAACUGUAAGGACUGUUAGCUGUGACUCAGUCCCAUCUGAAGUUACAGUGUUACUUAUUUGCAAAGCCUGCAGCUCCUCCAGACUAUUUUCUCUGGUAUUUUAUAAUGAAGACAUACAACCUUGGAGCUUAGGAGAUUUUUACCUGCCUGCUCCUCAGAGUUCUGCUAUGAGGAUGAUAUACAUAAAUUCAGCAUUAUCUUCUGGACUGCUGUGGGAUGAUGUGUUUACUACCCCUAUAAAAACAGCGCAGAUAAUGAAUAUCUUCAUGUGUCUGGAUCGACACUACCAGAAAUGUCUGAUGGGAGCACUAUCCACCAGAUUAUUCUUGGAAUUUACAUUUUCUCAUCAAACUGACCAGAUUUUAGAAUCCAAUUAUACAGAGGCAUUGUCUCUCACUUUUUUGUUGGCUGCCCUCCAGGAAGGAACGUUGCUGUUGAGAUAUACGAUGUUGAUACUUAUGUUAGAAAUGUUGAAGGAAAUUUUGUGUUAUGGGAGAUAAAAGGCAGAACUGACGAUGGGUACACUUCAUCCGUGAAAAAAAUUACAGAUCCUGUUCUGAGCUUCUUGAGAACAGUUCAAAGGAAGGACUGAACGAGCAGUAUCAGAUUUUAAACAGCACUUCUCGAAACCACAUCGCUUGGCCUUUUAGUCAUGAUGCCACUUACGUGUUCAGAGCGAGGAUAUUAGAUCGAAACUACAGACCAGAUGUUUCUACAGCUGAGUUUCAUUCCUUCAUCACACUCAGCAUCUUGUUGGCCUGCACCACCUUCUGCUACAGAUACAGCCUCACUUGGAAGUCUGAAACACUGGGUGGAUUCCCACAGAACUCAGACAAGACCUGAAGGCCAGUAUCUCACUGGUAAACUAACAAUGUAAAACAAUUCCUUAAAAUAGGGUGGUGCUGGGGACAACUGAUACACUGUUUAUUAAGAGAUUGUUUUGCAAGUACUUUUUAUAUCUCUAUAAUAUUAUUUCAUGUACUUUAUUUCAUAUACAGACGGCAUGCCAGGCAAUACAUCUGAGCUCCUAUGAGAGCAAAGCUCUGGUGUGGCUAAUCAUUUUUAAAGACAUUUUCCAAGCCAAGCUAAGUUAAGUUGCAGCUGUGAGCCUCGUGCUUGAGUUGGCUUCACCUUAUGGCUUUCACUGACUCAACUAAGGUAUCAGCAUAAUUUUUCAGUGUGAAAUCUGAUUGACCAAUGCAUGCAAGGUUUCUGUUCUGUCAAAGGGCUGCAGCCAAUCGAGUUCUGAAAAUGCUCAGCACAGCCCACAGGAGGAAUAUUGCGUUUCUGAAGAUGUUUUUUGAUGCUACGUGUUUUACUUCUGUUUAACAAAUGUUAAUUCUAUCUAUCUUAAAAGUAUCUAUUUG